rnacentral:rRNA from 1 species
CGUAGGGUGCAAGCGUUAAUCGGAAUUACUGGGCGUAAAGCGUGCGCAGGCGGCUUUGCAAGACAGAUGUGAAAUCCCCGGGCUUAACCUGGGAACUGCAUUUGUGACUGCAUGGCUGGAGUGCGGCAGAGGGGGAUGGAAUUCCGCGUGUAGCAGUGAAAUGCGUAGAUAUGCGGAGGAACACCGAUGGCGAAGGCAAUCCCCUGGGCCUGCACUGACGCUCAUGCACGAAAGCGUGGGGAGCAAACAGGAUUAGAUACCCUGGUAGUCCACGCCCUAAACGAUGUCAACUGGUUGUUGGACGGCUUGCUGUUCAGUAACGAAGCUAACGCGUGAAGUUGACCGCCUGGGGAGUACGGCCGCAAGGUUG